rnacentral:rRNA from 1 species
AUUGAACGCUGGCGGCAUGCCUUACACAUGCAAGUCGAACGGCAGCGGACCUUCGGGUGCCGGCGAGUGGCGAACGGGUGAGUAAAGUAUCGGAACGUACCUUUCAGUGGGGGAUAACGUAGCGAAAGUUACGCUAAUACCGCAUAUUCUGUGAGCAGGAAAGCAGGGGAUCGCAAGACCUUGCGCUGAUUGAGCGGCCGAUAUCAGAUUAGCUAGUUGGUGAGGUAAAGGCUCACCAAGGCGACGAUCUGUAGCGGGUCUGAGAGGAUGAUCCGCCACACUGGUACUGAGACACGGUCCAGACUCCUACGGGAGGCAGCAGUGGGGAAUUUUGGACAAUGGGGGCAACCCUGAUCCAGCCAUGCCGCGUGAGUGAAGAAGGCCUUCGGGUUGUAAAGCUCUUUCGGCCGGGAAGAAAUCGCUUAGGUUACUACCCUGAGUGGAUGACGGUACCGGAAUAAGAAGCACCGGCUAACUACGUGCCAGCCGCCGCGGUAAAAC